rnacentral:rRNA from 1 species
CCUGAGAAACCCAAAAGAUCGAAUAGGGAGAUUCAUCGUCAGCUCAUUUUGUAUAUAUGCAAGUUGUGAUAUGGGUUACUACUUGUAGUAUUGCCUGUACAUUCUUGUAUAUUUAAUUGCAUAGUGUGGUCGGCGUGCACUUCUCCCUUAGUAGAACGUCGCGACCCGUUGAGAGUAAUUAUUAAUAUAUUAGUCUACGGCCCAAGUGAUAGCUUUUAAUAAAUAGUUUAUUCUAUUUAUUGAAAAUCCUUGGUGUCACCUGGCUAACACUUGGCGGUAUUCGUACGGUAUCAAGUCGCAUAUAUUUAUAUGCGUCCUAGCCAUCACAAGCGAGGUUAGUUUACUGAUAGUGCGGACCUAGUGCCGUCGUUGGUACUAAUCAGCUGUUAGUUGUAUGGAAUUCUAGGACUGGCUUCUAUAUAUACCGGUCAGCGAUG